rnacentral:tRNA from 1 species
CAGAAAAUAGUUUAAAUAAAAUAUUAAUUUUGGAGAUUAAAGAUAGUAGAUUAUUUUUUCUGA